GAUGUGCUUGGAAAAGAUAUGUAAAUACAGAAAUGUGCCCUAAUUUGUUAUGUGGUUGUGCAUGUGAUGUCAGGUAUAGGUACAAGGUGGGCCUUGUACCUAGUAGGUAGAUUUCUUAGGAAAUGGUUUGAGAAUGUCAGAUGUCUCUGCAAGCUUAUCUCUGUAAGAAGUUCCCACGGGAUCUAGCUUGCUAACUCCCUGAAGGGGCCUUGAAGCUGCUC